AUGCAAGUCGAGCGGACCGAACGGAAGCUUGCUUCUGUUCGGUUAGCGGCGGACGGGUGAGUAACACGUGGGUAACCUGCCCGUAAGACCGGGAUAACUCCGGGAAACCGGGGCUAAUACCGGAUAACACCGAAGACCGCAUGGUCUUCGGUUGAAAGGUGGCUUUUGCUACCACUUACGGAUGGGCCCGCGGCGCAUUAGCUAGUUGGUGAGGUAACGGCUCACCAAGGCGACGAUGCGUAGCCGGCCUGAGAGGGUGACCGGCCACACUGGGACUGAGACACGGCCCAGACUCC
rnacentral:rRNA from 2 species